rnacentral:lncRNA from 1 species
GUCGUUAUUCUCUGCAGUGUCAGAAUAAUGAAACUAGUAGAUUCUACAAUUGGCCAUUUGUAUCACACGGCACAAGAGUGCGACAAGACCGAUCUGACCGCACAAUAAGAAAGCUGCCUGGUAAUAGCAUACAUGUUUACAAGUAUAUUGCAGUUGAUUCGUCAGUUCGCUAGUUGAUCGUGAGUAAAAAUCUUCAAUUUUAAAAAUCCC